rnacentral:rRNA from 1 species
CCUACGGGUGGCAGCAGUGGGGAAUAUUGGACAAUGGGGGCAACCCUGAUCCAGCCAUGCCGCGUGUGUGAAGAAGGCCCUCGGGUUGUAAAGCACUUUCAGUGAGGAAGAACGCCUGGUGUAGAAUACCCAUCAGGAAAGACAUCACUCACAGAAGAAGCACCGGCUAACUCCGUGCCAGCAGCCGCGGUAAUACGGAGGGUGCGAGCGUUAAUCGGAAUUACUGGGCGUAAAGCGCGCGUAGGUGGCUUGAUAAGCCGGUUGUGAAAGCCCCGGGCUCAACCUGGGAACGGCAUCCGGAACUGUCGAGCUAGAGUGCAGGAGAGGAAGGUAGAACUCCCGGUGUAGCGGUGAAAUGCGUAGAGAUCGGGAGGAAUACCAGUGGCGAAGGCGGCCUUCUGGACUGACACUGACGCUGAGGUGCGAAAGCGUGGGUAGCAAACAGGAUUAGAUACCCCAGUAGUC